rnacentral:rRNA from 1 species
UACGAAGGGGGCUAGCGUUGUUCGGAAUCACUGGGCGUAAAGCGCACGUAGGCGGGUCGUUAAGUCAGGGGUGAAAUCCCGAGGCUCAACCUCGGAACUGCCUUUGAUACUGGCGACCUUUGAGUCCGGGAGAGGUGAGUGGAACUCCGAGUGUAGAGGUGAAAUUCGUAGAUAUCGAGAGGAACACCGGUGGCGAAGGCGGCCUUCUGGACAGUGACUGACGCUGAGACGCGAAAGCGUGGGGAGCGAACAGG